ACAGACAAACAAGAAAAAAUAAGGGUUAAAUCAUGACAUAAGCCAUUUGUGAUAAUGUUUAGUUUUUGUGUAUAACAUGGGGAUACAAAUGAGAAAGAUGAAAGGAGGAAUGAUUCUGCUGAACGUUAAUAAAAUAUUCAAGAUUCUGCUGCUGCAGACUGAAAAGACUUAUUUACCUUCCUUUAUAAAGGUUGUGCUCAUAUCUGACAUUUCAUCUCAGCACAAAAUCAAUGUCGGUCUGUUACGUGUAAUCAACACUUAUUAUGUCCUUGACACCAGACCAAUUACCAUCAACCUUUUCAGAGGAAGUCAGUUGUUUAUGGAAGUGUUUGUGUGGGUGUUCUGUGAUUAUACAGCUCCUUGAUUUAAGUGGAUUUUAUGGGCAUGUAUAUUUUAUAGGUCAACAUUUUUCUAUUUUAUUUAUAUUAUGCCUAGUAGACUAGAUUGCAAUUAUUGAACUGCAUGAACUGUUAACACAAAUGUGUGUAUGCACUGUUCCAUUCAAUUGUGCAUUAUUAAACAGUAUUUAAUUCUACACAGUAUGAAUAUAAAAAUAAUGCAACCAUAGAUAGGUAAAUAAAAUUAAAACCUCAAUGAUUUACACUGCAAUGUCAGAAAAUGCACUGGAUAUUUAUCCUAAAAAAAAAUGGUGUUAAAUUGUAACCAAAAGUUAGUGUACCUUUAUUUUAAGGUGAUUUAGUUACAUUAAACUUACUCAAAUAAGUACUGAGUAAUAUUAAUUAACUACAUGUACUUACUAUAGAGUUACAGUUAGGGUUGUAAUUAUGCAUAAUUUACUGUUAAUGUAAAUUGUGUAACUGUCACCUUAAAAUAAAGUGUUACCUAACUUUUUGGUUCAAAAUUACCAAAAGUUAAAUUCAAUACAUCAAUCCUUCUUUCAAAAACGUGUUUUUUCUCUUACCCUGAUUCACUAUGGUAAGCCUAUUAUAAGUGUUUAUAUUUUAGACUGGGCGAGAUGGUUUUCGCAGGAAAUUGCGUACAUGCGUCACUUGUCAGUGCGUGUCUUGUCAUAUCAGUAAACAGAGAAAAGUUGCUCUAGCUACUUUGAUGCAUGUUUGGUGUGGGAGUGGUAUAGGUUAGUUGUCACAACGAGUGAGAAAGGGUGACACAGAACACGCUAAAUCACAAACCUCAGAGGAAUCACCUUAAGGGGAGAGUCAGCUGGCAAAAAGAGAACACGACAGAAAUCGUAAUAAAACGAGAGUCAACAUUGGCUUGUCUUUUUGGAGAUACCGAGAAUGAGGGAUUUGAAAUGUUGUAAAAGUGAAGCGGACUAAUGGACUAUAUUUUUAUUACUCAACAGGUUUCCACCUCAACUCUGCAGAAAAGUGGCCUUCUAGGACUGGAGCUGAAUAGACCCCACAAUCCCCAUGCAUUAAAUGAACACAAUUAGUCCUCAUAGAUGUGUUACAGUACUUUUAGUGCUCUAAGCUUGACUUUCUGUAAGGCACUGCUGAAAUAAACUUUAGAAUAUUCCACAAAAAAUCAAUACUGUAUGUCUAAUAUUUACUUGCUCGUCUGCAAGUAAAAAUUCAAUUCAAGAGCCUCACCACGGUAAACUGAGGGAGAUAGAAGCAUCAAAACAGUAUCAAGGAAUAAAACUAGUACUAGUAACUGCUAACUUGCUGGACAAUUCAGCACAACAAAGCUUUUUUGCACAAAGCAAUUUUAAUACACACACACAAAUGUUUUUUUUUUUUUUUUUUUUUUUUUUAAAUUUGUU